UGGAUUGAACUCAGGACCUUUUGCUUGGCAGGCCGGCUUUGUGCCACUGAGCUACAUCCCCGGCCAGUGCUCACCCUCUUUUUGCUCACCCAACACUACCUCCUUGCUCUGAAAGCUCCUUCCUGAUCUGGCAAAGACGGACCUGAGUGUAACACUCCCCUGCCCCGGUGCCUGGAUUUCCUGCCUGCAAAGUGAGCACGUCUCCAGGAAGCCUUCCAGGGGACUGCAAAUCUGAAGCAAACCGGGAGUUCCCAGCUGGCCUCCUCCCACUUGACCCAUGGGCUCCUGGCCUCUGAGGACAGCACGCAGGCUGGCAGGCUCUGCAUGCCAAAGGCCGAGGUCUGGCUCCAGGCUUCAGGACUUUCUGACCUGUGACCUUAGACAACCACCUGCUAGAGGAGCCACAACCUCUGGGAGCCUAUUUCCUCAACAAGGACUGUAGACUUCCAGAGCCAGGCCUUCAUCCAAACCUGGGACAUUCUUCUGAUGGCCUUGGCCUCCCCCACCCCUUUCAGGAAGUCCCUGAAGGAGAGCAAAUAGAAUUGCCACAGAGAGCCCUAAACUUUUGCUCUCCUGGCAGUACUGAUUGAACCCCAGACCUCACACAAACCAGGGUCUCACUCUGUAACUCAAGCUGGCCUUGAACUCACUAUGAAGCCCAGGUCAGCCUCGAACUCAUGUAAAUCCUCCUGCUGACAUUACAGGUAUGUGCCACCACACCUGGUGCCUUUUAUUUUUAAAAGCCUUUUCUCCCCUCCCCCAGCUUCCUCCAGGUUGAAUAGUAACAAUUGCCCUCACCCGGCUAAUUCUCAGCCCUCUAGCACCUCUCUGGGGCCACCUCCCCAGAUCACGGGCAUCUUCUGACACAGGCAGCACUAGGUCCAGCUCCAGAGCCCUGGCUGAGGAUUGAACUGAGUUAAACAAGAAGGCUGAAAAAGAAGCCUGUGUCCCCCAGGACCCUCAGACACAGUGAAUAGCAUUCUAUUUUGUUUUGUUUUUUGUUUUUGUUUUUUGAGACAGGGUCUCACUAUGUAGCCCAGGCUGGCCUCGAACUCAUGAUGAUCCUCCUGCCUCAGCCUACCAAGUGCUGGGAUCACAGGUGUGUGCCAUCAACGCCUGGCAACAUUCCAUUCUUGAGGCCUUUGCCCCUAUAAGGCACUGUGCUGAGUAUUCUCUUCAUGUCUUCACUUAAAACUCUCUACAGCUCUAUUUGUUCAGUACUAUCUUACUGAUGAUGACACCGGAGCACAACUGGUGGGGUGUGGGUCCUAAAUUCAUCUGAUGCCACAGCUCUUCCUCUGAAUCAGGGUGCUGUCACAACAGAACAAACCAAGAUCCACAGGAAUAGAGUGGGAAAAAAUGGCCCAGUGAAGGGAGCUUCUAGGAGAGAUAAAGGAUAAAAACCCCCAGACAAGUUCAGGACAGUGUUACAAGCACACGUUAGGGAGCAUGGAGGGGGCAGAGUGAGGGAGGCGGGGGGCGGGUGGGUAAGUCUGGGAAUUCUCAGCAGAAGGUAAGAAUGUGUGGUGGGGGCCAGCGGGGUUAAAGAAUGGUCAGGGAAGAAGUGCCCGGAGCCCACGCUUCGGAGAGCCAAAGGAUCAGGAAGUGGCUGGUAUGUGAACUGUGUUUCAUUUGUCAAAGUCUAAAAACAUACAGAAAAGGAAACACACAGACACACACAGACACACACACACACGCACGCACACACACACACACACACACACACCUCUCUAACCAGAAAUGGGGAAAACUGGUCACAGCAACAGCUGAGAAAUUAGAGACAGGAAUUUCAGGAACUGGGAUAACUCAGUGACCUGAGCUUGGAAAUUCCACCCCAUGACUCGACAAAGCUCUCCAAGCCACCGCCGGUCUUCCCAUCAGAGGGAGUGCUUUCCAGCAGCCUGGGCCAGAUAGCGGAGGGGGGUGCUCUGCCCAGCCUGUGGGUGUGGGGUCCUCAUGUAGCCCUCUCCACAGCAAUAAUCGCCCCAACCACAAGAAUCCUUUACAAGUGCACAUUAGAUCCCAGCAAUCAUGUGGAACAGUAUUGUCCUGGAGUCACGGCUGAGGACUCAGAGGCACAGAGAGUCAAGUCAUUUGCCUAAGGUCUCACAGCAGGCAAAUGGCAGCACCAGGGCCUUGCUGAAGUUGCAAUCCCUUUGAAGGACUUAAUGAAAACUAUUUACCCACUACCCAGAAAAAAUAAUUAUAAUCACCUAAUACACAUUUUAUAUUUAACUUCAAGGGGUUCAAAAAAGUUCCUAAACCCAUUUAAUAGUAAGGAAAGUAGAUAGCAGACCUUAGCUCCCACCUUUAUCC